rnacentral:rRNA from 1 species
CCCUUAGAUGUUCUGGGCCGCACGCGCGCUACACUGAUGCAUUCAACGAGCCUAUCAUUGACCGACAGGUCCGGGUAAUCUUUGAAUCUGCAUCGUGACGGGGAUAGAUUAUUGCAAUUAUUAAUCUUCAACGAGGAAUGCCUAGUAGGCGCAAGUCAUCAGCUUGCGUCGAUUACGUCCCUGCCCUUUGUACACACCGCCCGUCGCUCCUACCGAUUGGGUGUGCUGGUGAAAUGUUCGGAUCGGCCGUUUGUCGCGGUUUCCGCGGCUCGUGGCUGAGAAGUUCAUUAAACCCUCCCACCUAGAGGAAGGAGAAGUCGUAACA